ACCACUAUGGGGGCGCUAUAAUCACAGGAAGUAUGCUCAUAUCUCAGCAAUGAUUUUACGUAUAGAAACCAAACUUAGUAUAUGGACUUGGGACCCCAUUCUGAGGACACACAAUAAAUUUGGUGACUUUCGACCACUAAGAGGGCGCUAGAGUUACAGGAAAUGAGCUCAUAUCUCACCAACGCUUUCACGUAUCGAAACCAAACUUGGUACAUGGACUCAAGACCCAAUCCCGAAGACGUAAAAUAAAUUUGGUGACCUUUGAACACUAUGGGGGCGCUAUAAUCACAGGAAGUGAGCUCAUAUCUCAGCAACGUUUUGAUGUAUGAAGUCCAAACUUGGUACAGGGACAUGGUAGCUGAUUGUGAGGACGUGCAAGGAAAGUGGUGUCAUUUGGCCUCCAGGGGAGCUGUAAUAAAGAAAGUGAGCUCAUAUCUCAGCAACGCUUUGAUGUACUAAAGCCAAAGUUGGUACAGGGACUUGGCACUUGAUUGUGAGAACGCACAAGGACAUUGGUGUAAUUUGGCCUCUAGGGGCACUGUAACAAUGUAAAUGAGCUGAUAUCUCAGCCAUUCUUUAUCCAAUUGCCAUCAAAGUUGCUGUGAGUUGAUUGAAAAACAAUUUCCA